rnacentral:sRNA from 1 species
UAGACUUGACGAGUUCCAAUCUCCGGAGC